rnacentral:rRNA from 1 species
AUGUGGCUGGCAGUUCACAGGAGAUGCCUGACGGCUGAUAACUUGGAGCGCAGGAAUUGGCCCUCCAAUGGUGUUUGCCCCUUGUGCCUCUCUGAACCAGAAACCUGUACUCAUUUGUUUGUGCACUGCAACUUUACCAAGCAGGUCUGGACGCGCUUCAAGGCAUGGACAGGAGCUGAUUUUCAAAUUCCAGACAACAGCUUCAGCACAACGGAAGAUUGGUGGCUGAUUGCUAGGGCGGAUAUCCCCAAACAAAUGAGGCGGAAUUUUGACACGAUGGCAAUCUUAUUGCACUGGAGGGUCUAGAAGGAAAGAAAUGCGAGGAUAUUCGACAAUGUCGCCAGCCCAGUGGAGAGAGUCUUGGACCUGACCAAAGAAGAUAUCAGCAUGUGGAGGGCUGCCGGAUGCAUCAGCAAUCUGGCAGCCUAG